AACACUUCCAUGCACCAUUUCUAUAGUUUCUUACCAGAGAAGUUUCUCUGAACAUGUGGAGCACCGGAAACCACGAGGAGGCGGCUCAGCAUUCACUCCUGAGCAUGAAGCUGGCUCUUGGUGGUGCUUCUCUGCAAUUGCCUUUUGCUGCUGAUGAUCACUCUUCUCUUCCUUUGGGAGAGUGAAAGGGAAAGGAAGCCAUCUGAAGGG
rnacentral:snoRNA from 10 species